rnacentral:misc_RNA from 1 species
AGCAAAGUCCACUGGGUCUUUUUCACACUCAAGGAUCUACAUACCCCACUGACAAUCACCGGUAUCUGAGACUUCAGACUUACAAGACUCUACCGGACAUUACAAGACUCUACCGGACUUUACAAGACUCUACAGGACUUUACAAGAUUCUCUUUACACGGCCACAACUUGGAGACACUCUCCCCAACCUCAACAGACCCUCCAUCGCCAAGAAUCACGUUGCUAUUGCUUUUCACAUAACACUUUAGCACGUUCUGAAAGGGCGUAAGAAGCAAUGCUGAUCAGGGUCUUGACUUAGAUAAUACGGAGCUGCAUGGAAACCCGGCUUCUUCCGGCCGGAAAUAUUCAUCGCUCUUAGUCAUCCCUCUCAAGCUCAGAAUUAUUACUCAAUUCAUACAACGUGCCAAUGGGUACAUUGACUAGAAGUGGCUUGCUUAUAGCUAUGACUCAGAAUACAAUUCUACGUCCAGUAAGGUUGAUGGUGCAUCCUUCUCAACAAAACAUAACUUACUCGUACAUAGUA